rnacentral:snRNA from 1 species
AGCUUUGCGCAGUAGCAGUAUCAUAGCCCAUGAAGUUAAACUGAGUCAUGAUUAUUGCUAAUUGAUUAAAGAGUUAAACAUAUGCAUCCAUAUUAUGGGAGGGCCCACUUGCGGGC